rnacentral:rRNA from 1 species
ACGGAGGGUGCAAGCGUUGUCCGGAUUUAUUGGGUUUAAAGGGUGCGUAGGCGGUCUGUUAAGUCAGUGGUGAAAUCCCUCAGCUCAACUGAGGAACUGCCAUUGAUACUGACAGACUUGAGUACGGACGAGGUAGGCGGAAUUUAUGGUGUAGCGGUGAAAUGCAUAGAUACCAUAAAGAACACCGAUAGCGAAGGCAGCUUACUAGACCGUAACUGACGCUCAGGCACGAAAGCGUGGGGAGCGAACAGG